GGGACACGUGGUAUCCUGUCUGAAUAUGGGGGGACCAUCCUCCAAGGCUAAAUACUCCUGACUGACCGAUAGUGAACCAGUACCGUGAGGGAAAGGCGAAAAGAACCCCGGCGAGGGGAGUGAAAAAGAACCUGAAACCGUGUACGUACAAGCAGUGGGAGCACGCUUAGGCGUGUGACUGCGUACCUUUUGUAUAAUGGGUCAGCGACUUAUAUUCUGUAGCAAGGUUAACCGAAUAGGGGAGCCGAAGGGAAACCGAGUCUUAACUGGGCGUUAAGUUGCAGGGUAUAGACCCGAAACCCGGUGAUCUAGCCAUGGGCAGGUUGAAGGUUGGGUAACACUAACUGGAGGACCGAACCGACUAAUGUUGAAAAAUUAGCGGAUGACUUGUGGCUGGGGGUGAAAGGCCAAUCAAACCGGGAGAUAGCUGGUUCUCCCCGAAAGCUAUUUAGGUAGCGCCUCGUGAAUUCAUCUCCGGGGGUAGAGCACUGUUUCGGCAAGGGGGUCAUCCCGACUUACCAACCCGAUGCAAACUGCGAAUACCGGAGAAUGUUAUCACGGGAGACACACGGCGGGUGCUAACGUCCGUCGUGAAGAGGGAAACAACCCAGACCGCCAGCUAAGGUCCCAAAGUCAUGGUUAAGUGGGAAACGAUGUGGGAAGGCCCAGACAGCCAGGAUGUUGGCUUAGAAGCAGCCAUCAUUUAAAGAAAGCGUAAUAGCUCACUGGUCGAGUCGGCCUGCGCGGAAGAUGUAACGGGGCUAAACCAUGCACCGAAGCUGCGGCAGCGACGCUUAUGCGUUGUUGGGUAGGGGAGCGUUCUGUAAGCCUGUGAAGGUGUGCUGUGAGGCAUGCUGGAGGUAUCAGAAGUGCGAAUGCUGACAUAAGUAACGAUAAAGCGGGUGAAAAGCCCGCUCGCCGGAAGACCAAGGGUUCCUGUCCAACGUUAAUCGGGGCAGGGUGAGUCGACCCCUAAGGCGAGGCCGAAAGGCGUAGUCGAUGGGAAACAGGUUAAUAUUCCUGUACUUGGUGUUACUGCGAAGGGGGGACGGAGAAGGCUAUGUUGGCCGGGCGACGGUUGUCCCGGUUUAAGCGUGUAGGCUGGUUUUCCAGGCAAAUCCGGAAAAUCAAGGCUGAGGCGUGAUGACGAGGCACUACGGUGCUGAAGCAACAAAUGCCCUGCUUCCAGGAAAAGCCUCUAAGCAUCAGGUAACAUCAAAUCGUACCCCAAACCGACACAGGUGGUCAGGUAGAGAAUACCAAGGCGCUUGAGAGAACUCGGGUGAAGGAACUAGGCAAAAUGGUGCCGUAACUUCGGGAGAAGGCACGCUGAUAUGUAGGUGAAGUCCCUCGCGGAUGGAGCUGAAAUCAGUCGAAGAUACCAGCUGGCUGCAACUGUUUAUUAAAAACACAGCACUGUGCAAACACGAAAGUGGACGUAUACGGUGUGACGCCUGCCCGGUGCCGGAAGGUUAAUUGAUGGGGUCAGCGCAAGCGAAGCUCUUGAUCGAAGCCCCGGUAAACGGCGGCCGUAACUAUAACGGUCCUAAGGUAGCGAAAUUCCUUGUCGGGUAAGUUCCGACCUGCACGAAUGGCGUAAUGAUGGCCAGGCUGUCUCCACCCGAGACUCAGUGAAAUUGAACUCGCUGUGAAGAUGCAGUGUACCCGCGGCAAGACGGAAAGACCCCGUGAACCUUUACUAUAGCUUGACACUGAACAUUGAGCCUUGAUGUGUAGGAUAGGUGGGAGGCUUUGAAGUGUGGACGCCAGUCUGCAUGGAGCCGGCCUU
rnacentral:rRNA from 1 species